CUGAGAGCUGAUGGCUUCCCAGAGAUGCCUCACAGUCCUGCGCAGACAGAGAGAAUGCAGAAGGCAAAAAGAAACAUACCAAGAAUUAACCCUCAGUCCUUCUCUGAAGCAUCCUACUUGAUUGAGCAGGCAACACACUCUGGGGAACAGGCUUUUGGACCGAUAUAUUUAUUUACCUAAGGAAUGCACUCACUAGGAAAUAAAAACAACCAACCAAAGAACAGAUAACUCGUGAAACAGAAUAAGGAUUGACACAGCAAUAAUGUAAAUAUGAAUGCAAUAAAAUAAUUCAAGAGAUAAAGUAAGAUCUUAAUAAUAUAAAUAAGGGACAAAAGGUCAUAACAAAAACCAGGUGGAAAUGAUAAAGUUUAAAAAAAUGUAAUCAGUGAAAUAAGGAAUCCAAUAGAAGGAAUAAACAACAGAAUGGGUAAAGCUUUGGGAUUAAUAGAUAUUCAGGUGAUCAGAUUGAAAAGCUAUU
rnacentral:lncRNA from 1 species